AGCCACUGCUUGGGAAAUGGCCAGAUGACCUUAGGGUUCCCAAGUGAACAGGGGUGAGUCAGCAGGUGAGAAGCUGCCGCUCCCCUGCACCUGUGUUGCUGGGUGCAGGCCAGAGAGGAAAGUGAUGAGAAUCGCUGCAGCCGGUGCCUCUCACCACCCCACGAGGAGGAAGAGGAAGCCUUUCCUGUCAGUAGAUAAGGAGGAAGGGCUGGCCUGCAAGGUGGUAUGAUGACAUAACAGCCCCCAGAGACCUUUAGACGUCCACAGCAACUCUGUCCUGCUGUCAGUGACACGCAACUGGGACUUUCUGCACGACGUUGCCUGACUGGAGCCUCCCUAUCUAAGCCGGUGGUCUCGUAGGCUGCACGGUCCUCUCUGCUUUGUUCAGUCGGAGGCGAUGGAGCCUUUGCCCUGGGGAGCCGAGAAGGUGGAUGUUAAAGAGAACCGCUCAUGUCAGCAUCUGGCAUUUACCCCCUCUGUCACCCGGAACAAGUAACCCGGCUACUUUGCUUCAGUGCCCAAUAUGAGAUGGAAUCUUAAAGCAGCUGGAUUUUGUCUGCUGCACCUUUUAAAGAACGGCUUUGAGGUUUUCACUCCAACAUCUGACUCUCCAGUCUUUAUUGGAGCAAGAGUUAAGAUGGGAGAGGCAGAAAAAUCCAACUGAAUAAAGCUUUCAAAAUGAAAAGGCAGGUCAAGUUCAACCCAGGAACACCUCUCCCAGUGCUUUCCCAACUAGUUAAGGUACAAGACCGAAGCUAGCCCAGCUCCCAGUCAGUGCCGAGCAGAGUGCUGUUAAUAUUGUUAUGGUUAAUGUGCAUCAAACAUUAGUUUUCUGAACUGGAGAAUUCCCACUGUUGACACUUUCUCACUGAACUCUCGUGAUUGCUUGGUUUCGUAGGCUGUUGGGCCCAAGAUACAUUUUGUUUUAAAUAAUCCUUCAUGAAAAAUUCAGCUUGCAGUCUAAUAUGAUUGAACUCAGACCGAGUUUGUUUUAUAAUGCAUUAGACUGGAAAGUCUAUGAGCAGUGAAUUAUUCAAGAUGUGUAGACAAACAAGGGACCUGUGCUCUCAUGUGGGAAGGAGUGAUCAAAGAAAUAAACAAAAUUUGAUGUGUCUUGUUAUCUCAUUUUAUUUACCUUUAAAACUCCUCCAAAUAUUAGAGGAAAGAAGUCAAUAUCAAUCUUCACCUCUGCCAGGUUCUGCACUUCAAUUAUUAAUUUGACCACAGUUCUCUGUACCACAUGCUCCACAACAAUAUUUCUGUGCCUUUAUUACAAAUGUUAAAUGUCAUUGGAUUUCCAAAUAUGACUCUCCACUGGCUAAUUUGGCUAACUUUAUUAAUAAGAGGAUUCUGAGGAGUAUGAAUGUCAGUAUGUCUGCAUGUAAGACUGAACUAUAAAUUCUUUCUACUGGAGGUGACAAGCAACAGCUGCUGUGAGACCAUAGGCAGUCACCUCUGGAAUUAACCCUGCAAGAACCACAACUUCACACAGUGGCAAACUGGUGUCAACUCCCAGGAAUUUCCAAAUGAAAUUCCCCCUCAGCAACAGCCUUACUAGUGAUUUUCACAGUGUAUGGAUGUUGUCUCUAUUAAUAUGUCCUCCAAACCCUUUACCCAUUUUGUUGUCCGUGUAACACUGUGGAUUCCAAAUUUCUGAAUAUAAGUCAAAACAACAAUCAGAAACUUUGACAUUGCAUGUCAAAUUGCUGCAAGAGACAGUCAAAAUAUCAUGCCUACUCUAAGAUAGAACAUUUCUAUGAGGAAAAGAGCUUGACUGUGUUUCUACUGGAAGAAGGAUGUGGUCUGGAGCAUUCCUGGGAGUGAAGCAAGAAAUGUGCUGCUUCAUACAGGAAGUCACAAACGACUCUUGGAACUACCUCUGGUCUUGUCUCCUUUGCACAACGAACAGUGGACCUGGUUAAGGAGGACAGCAGGACAGUUUCCAGGGGACCUGGUUGUCCAGGAGGACAGUGGGACAAUUUCCAGUGGGCCUGGUUGUCCAGGAGGACAGUGGGACAAUUUCCAGUGGGCCUGGUUGUCCAGGAGGACAGCGGAAUAAUUUCAGUUACUUGAGUGCUUUUGCAGGUUCCAUAGAAUGGAGUGGAGAGCAAGAGGAAAGCAGAAGGCAGCCUGAAGAAAGGAAGUUCCACAUGAGCUGGGGCUCCUUCCUAGAAAUGACAACACACAGUGACCUACUUAGCAAAUGAAAACAAACCAGAGGAAUUGGCCAAGGUCAGAGGGGAGUGCAUAUGCCUCCAGGUCCUGCCCAUACAAGCAGCUGUGGAGGAAUGAACGGCAGGCUGAGACUGGACUUCUGCCCUGCUCAGACAGCUGGAGCCUGAGAGAGGAGGUUGGGGAACACCAGGCCAAGGCUGGAGAACUUUUCCUUGGCCCAUGAAACAAUGGUGAGACAAUGCAUGGUGGGAAGUGAUUCCCAAGCUUUCCUCCGUACAGACAGCCUGAACACUGGGUACCUUGCCCAUGCUGCCCUUAAUAAAGAUGGUGGUGAAGUCAUAUGACCUGCCUGUUUUGACUUUAGCUAAGAUGGCAGCUAGACCACGUGGUUGCCCUUAUUCAAGCUGAUGUUGCCUGACCAUGUGUUCAUGUGGGUUUUUUCCCCCCCAAAAUAAACUGAACAGAUAAGGAACAGAUAAAUUGAAGCAUUUAAAAGUCAGUCAGAAAGAAACAUAGAUGGUUAUAUCAAUCAUACAUUUCCAUUCACACAUAGGAAAUAGACUUUGUGAAAGAAAGAUGGAGAAGUAACAGUGUAUCUGGGUGGGAGAGAGGAACCCUCUGGGCUGUGGCAUGGUGCGAGCGCCACAGGGGAAUGAACCAAAGCCAUGGGUUGGUGGCAGUGGUGGGGGGUGGGGGACCAUAGGCACAUUUUUCCACAAUGAGGUAUAAGGCCCAGUGGACUGACCUCCUGCAUCCCAGAGGGUCAGCAGGGGCCAUUGAUAAUGGCACAAGAUAGCCAAUGGACCAUCAUCACAAAGGCUAUGGGCCAUGGAGUUGAGUGGGCACAAACCGUCUCUAUAUGCCAUCACAUAGGGAUGGGGGCUGAGGGGCUUGGAGCCCAAAAGACAUGUGGUACCAGCAAGCAAAAGGAGAUGAAUUCUCACUCAUGGGAAAAGGGAAGGGAGACAUCUUACCAAUCUAGUAUGGUGAAGAGUCUCCGGUGGUGCUCCAGCCUGAAAAAAUGGUGGGUGGUACAGGAUCCCAGAGCUCCUCAGACUGCUGGUGGGUAUGAGAAAGCAGUGGGAUUGCCUGGCAAUGUUUGGCACCAAUGCUAUGAAUUAUUGCAUGGGGGAGACCCUGAGGGUAUCCCUGGUGUGCCGGGAAACAUGCUGGGCAGAUGCACACCGUAUGGGUAUGGUGGCAGAGGUGGCAGCCAGUAAUUCAUAACCCAGACUCUGCAUCCAUGUGGAGAGUUUAUUAUAAUAGAAGAUGAAGAGAAAGAUAGGAAAGACACACACGAGACACACACACA